ensembl:processed_transcript
CAAGAAUGUACUGAGAACUGUAAUAUGCUUUAACACACAGGUGUGCCACUUCCAUGAACAUAAUGCUGUUUGAUCUACUUGCUGUCUUAGGUAAGUUUUAUUUAUUUAUUUAUUUAUUUAUUUUUUUACAUUUUUCCUGGUAGAGGUAUUUUUUUAUCCAAUAAUUGAUAAUACUAUUUUAUUCUCAGGGAUGUUGUCCCUCACAGGGGACUCUUCUCAGGGAUGUUGUUCCUCUAGUCAAAUAUCUCAACAAUAUCACUUCAUAAAUAUAACAAAGAACUGGACUGAGGCUCAGAGGUUUUGCCGUGAGAAGUACACUGGCCUGGUGACUGUGAAAAAUGGAGAUGAGACAAAGACCAUAACUGAUGUUUUAAAUGAUGUUUACAUUGGACUUUACAGACAGGAGAGAUUUAGUUGGCAUUGGUGUAUGCCAGACACUUUCUACAAUGCAAAAACACUCCAAAAUUGGAAAAAGGAACAACCAGAUGAAAAUAAUAAAGGAUUUGAAACUGGAACAAAUAACUCUAAUUCAGAAAGACAAUUUGUUUGCUAUACUGCAAGAAACAACACGCAAAUCCAGAUUGAGAAGAGGGAAUUCAAGAGAGGUGCUCAACAAAGUUGCAAAAACUUUACAGAUUUAAAAAAUUCCUCAAUCAGCUUAGAAAACUCCAUUUUAAUUGUUCUGAAAAACUACAACUGGGGUUUUAUAACAAAUGAUGUGUGGAUUGGACUGUUUAAAGAUGACUGCUUGUGGUUGGAUCAGAACAACUCUUGCUUCUGUGCCUGUAGUUUGAGUCCAGAAAAACACAACAACAGCAGUUCAAACAAAUGUAAAUGGAUUGUAAAUGAAAAAAGUAUAAGGAAUGAAGCUCAAUGCAACGAAAAUUUACCCUUCAUCUGUUAUGAUGGUACGCUAAAUCACUUUAUGCUUAGCAGCUUUUUAAUUUUCAUAAUAAAGAUAAAAAAUUUAUUUUACUGCAUUUCUGUGUAAUAUGUUGUGUCAUUAUUCUGCCUUCUUUAUAGAUCUAAAACGAACUGCUACGCCAGAUCCAUUGCCAACACCAACUGCUGGAGAGAAUAUAAGUAUUGUGCAUCUCCUAAAUGUACACAUUAACUCACAAAAAUGUAGAAUGUAAAAUUACUCAGUUAUAAUCACAAUAAUAAUAAUAAUAAUAAUAAUAAAUAAUAAAAUAUAAUUAAAAAACAAGAACAGCUUAGCUAACUCUGUUGAGUUGAAAGGAUUGUUUUAGUAAGUCAUUUUGAAUAAAUGCAAGCAUCUCCUAAAUGAAUAAAUUUGAAUUUAAUGUAAGUAACAUUAUUACAUUUAACAGCUACAAAAUACCUUUAAAAAAUAUUUUAUCAUACAAAUAACCACAAAUAUUUUUAUAGAAGUUGUUACAGAAUAAUAUUCCUUGCAAAGCCAUUAUUUAUCAUUUUAGCAAAAGCUUUAAUUAUUUAUGUGAAUUAUUAACUUAUAAUUUAUUACUAAUACAGCCACUUCUGGAACAACAACACAGCAGCACAAACCAAACCAAAACGCAAUCGAGAGGGAACAUGCAAACAGUCAAACAACCCAAAUACUCCCAACAGGUCAAGAACAAGGUGAGAAAUUUUAUCUCUUUUAAUAUCUGUUGUUUUCUUAUUUGAAUUUAUGCAAAAGUUAGCUACAAUGUUCAUAAGUGUCUCUCUCUCUCUCUCUCUCUCUCUCUCUCUCUCUCUCUCUGUGUGUGUGUGUAUGUGUGAGAGAGAGAGAAAUUUUAAAAUUUGAAUACACCUUUAUUUAAUACAAAAUUUUAAUCUACAACAUGUUUCAUUAAUUGAAACAAAACACAUUUCCAAAUCACACAAUAUUUUCAUCAAAAAUCAAUACAUUAUUUUCAACCCAACACAACAUUUGUUUUUACACUCCACAUGCCUUCAAACUUGUGUAACUCAUUCAUUGACCAAUAAAAAUUAAAAUCAUGCCUUAUUCUUGCUCUUAUAAGCCCUUUAAAAAUCAGUUCAACUUUAUGAUUGGUCUCAUACAAAAUCUUGUGCCUCCUACUCAUGUAUGUUGCCAUUUUUGCUUGUCCUAAAAUAAAAUUUAACAGACGCCCUUUUCUUUUUUCUUUAUUUCCAUAUUUAAAACCAAACACAAACACAGUUUUUGUAAACGUCUCAUCAACGGAAAGCAAAAUAACCUCCAAUAAAUUGAAUAAAAACCCAGUCUUUCACAAUGCAUAAAACAAUGAAAAAUUGUCUCUCUUUCAUCACAAAAAGGACAUUUAUCAUGCACAGUUGGAUUCAGUAUUGAAAUAAAAGUAUUGACUGCAAUAAUACACUUUAACAUCCGGCACUGAAGAUCUCCAACAUUUUUAGUCAACGGUGGCUUGUAAACUGAACUCCAAACAGGCAUAACAUCACUAUCAACAUUUAAAUGCUCUCUCCAUGGUGUAUCGACACAUUGUAAUUUUUCUUGGUUUGUAACUUUUAUACAAAUCUUAUACAAAAUCUUUCCUCCCAAUGAAUUAAAAACAAUGUCUUUUGAAAUCUUUAAACUCUCCAUUCCUGAAGGAUUUUGUUGUAUGACCAAACUUGGAAACGAAUCCAUUAUAUUUGGCACUGUUUGUAAUGAUAAAAAGUUCCAGUCUUUUUGACUCAGUGUUUCUCUUAGUUUUUUUGAGCAAUAAAUGAACUUUUCUUGUUGAUCUCCUAUUUAGUCUUUGAGCGACUGUAUCGGCAUUGUCUAAAUUUUCCCAGCCACUUCUAUUAAGUUCAUAAUUUUUGUCAUUUUUGCAUUAAAAAGCAAAUGUUUUAAACCAGGUAUUUUAUCAACCAAAAGGUCCAAGCGAGUGCCAUUUAUUAGUGGUUCUUCCAAAAACCAAUAUAAAGAUUUAUGAGACAACAUUCUU